rnacentral:rRNA from 1 species
GAUGAACGCUGACAGCAUGCUUAACACAUGCAAGUCGAUGGGGAAGUGGUGCUUGCCCCAUGGCAACCAUGGCGGACGGGUGAGUAACGCGUAAGGGACUUACCUGCAGGACUGGGAUAACAGGGGGAAACUCCUGACAAGACCGGAUAAUGUCAUGGAGCUGCAUGGCUUUAUGAUGAAAGGAGACGCCUGCGGAGAGCCUUGCGUCCUAUUAGCUAGUUGGUGAGGUAAUGGCUCACCAAGGCGAAGAUAGGUAGCCGGCCUGAGAGGGUGGACGGCCACAAGGGGACUGAGAUACGGCCCUUACUCCUACGGGAGGCAGCAGUGGGGAAUAUUGGACAAUGGGGGCAACCCUGAUCCAGCAAUUCUGUGUGCACGAAGAAGGUUUUCGGAUUGUAAAGUGCUUUCAGCAGGGAAGAAGUAAGUGACGGUACCUGCAGAAGAAGCGACGGCUAAAUACGUG